rnacentral:rRNA from 1 species
UGGACAUGGAGGCAACUCUGAUCCAGCCAUGCCGCGUGAAGGAAGACGGCCUUAUGGGUUGUAAACUUCUUUUAUACAGGAAGAAACCUUUCCACGUGUGGAAAGUUGACGGUACUGUAAGAAUAAGGAUCGGCUAACUCCGUGCCAGCAGCCGCGGUAAUACGGAGGAUCCAAGCGUUAUCCGGAAUUAUUGGGUUUAAAGGGUCCGCAGGCUGUUUGUUAAGUCAGAGGUGAAAUCCUACCGCUCAACGGUAGAACUGCCUUUGAUACUGGCAAACUUGAGUUAUUGUGAAGUAGUUAGAAUGUGUAGUGUAGCGGUGAAAUGCAUAGAUAUUACACAGAAUACCGAUUGCGAAAGCAGAUUACUAACAAUAUACUGACGCUGAGGGACGAAAGCGUGGGUAGCGAACAGGAUUAGAUACCCUGGUAGUCCACGCCGUAAACGAUGGUCACUAGCUGUUCGAUGUACAUUGGUACGUUGAGUGGCUAAGCGAAAGUGAUAAGUGACCCACCUGGGGAGUACGCUCGCAAGAGUGAAACUCAAAGGAAUUGGCGGGGCCCGCACAAGCGGUGGAGCAUGUGGUUUAAUUCGAUGAUACGCGAGGAACCUUACCAGGACUUAAAUGUAAGUUGCAUGAUUCAGAAAUGAAUCUUUCUUCGGACUACUUACAAGGCGCUGCAUGGUUGUCGUCAGCUCGUGCCGUGAGGUGUCAGGUUAAGUCCUAUAACGAGCGCAACCCCUAUCGUUAGUUGCCAUCAAGUAAAGUUGGGAACUCUAGCGAAACUGCCGGUGCAAACCGAGAGGAAGGUGGGGAUGACGUCAAAUCAUCACGGCCCUUACGUUCUGGGCUACACACGUGCUACAAUGGUCGGUACAGAAAGCAGCCACUAUGCAAAUAGGAGCUAAUCUUUAAAACCGAUCUCAGUUCGGAUCGCAGUCUGCAACUCGACUGCGUGAAGCUGGAAUCGCUAGUAAUCGGAUAUCAGCCAUGAUCCGGUGAAUACGUUCCCGGGCCUUGUACACACCGCCCGUCAAGCCAUGGAAGCUGGGGGUACCUAAAGUCGGUGACCGAAAGGAGCUGCCUAGGGUAAAACUAGUGACUGGGGCUAAGUCGUAACAAGGUAGCCGUACCGGAAGGUGCGGCUGGAAUACCUCCUUUCU